GAUGAAGAACGUAGCAAAAUGCGAUACUUGGUGUGAAUUGCAGAAUCCCGUGAACCAUCGAGUUUUUGAACGCAAGUUGCGCCCGAAGCCUUUUGGCCGAGGGCACGUCUGCCUGGGCGUCACGCAUCGCGUCGCCCCCCACAAUUCUCCGUAAAGGGAACGUGUGUUUUGGGGGCGGAUAUUGGUCUCCCGUGCUCAUGGCGUGGUUGGCCGAAAUAGGAGUCCUUUCUAUGGACGCACGAACUAGUGGUGGUCGUAAAAACCCUCGUCUUUUGUUUCGUGCUGUUGCUCGCAAGGUAAACUCUUUAAAAACCCCAAUGUGUCGUCUCUUGACGACGCUUCGACCGCGACCCCAGGUCAGGCGGGACUACCCGCUGAGUUUAAGCAUAUCAAUAAGCGGAGGA
rnacentral:misc_RNA from 1 species